GAACCAGAAUAGUGCUGAGUCAUUUCUUCUGGCUUCAAGAUUCCCCUGGAAGGAGGCUCUGGAUGCUUGGCCCAGGAGUAGGCCACCGGUCUUGUUUGGGAGUAGAGAAGGAAAGCCCAGUGAGGUCCAAUCUCAAUUGGGUUACAAGACCGUCACAUAUCUGGAGAACAUAUUAUUUUUGGAUUGCAAACCAAGAGGACGACCCGGCGAGGGCCUGGGAGGGUCUGACAAGAUCCCCCUAGGAGGCAGGGGUUUGAAAAUGACUCCUGAAAAGAAGCAGCCUGGAUCCCAAAGUUCUAGCAG
ensembl:lncRNA